UUUAUCUGCAGGGAGGAUCCCCAAGCGGAGAGACACGCCCUUCCUGCAGAGGCGCACCGCCUGCCACCCACUGGGCGGGACGGGCGGCGUUUCUCCCCACACGCCCGCGGGAGGAGGCCACGACCCUCCCCGCGCUCGCGCUGAACCCCUGCCGCUGAGCUGCAGUUCCGGAGGUGUCCUGUCGCUCAAAUGUGGGGACGCUGGGGAAAGAUCAGAAGACAGGGUAUAUGAGGAUAUUGUCACAGGGUUUGAGGGAAGCACAUCUCACACGCCUCACACGUGAGAACCCAGUCAUCGCAUUUAUGAACUACAAAAGAAUCAGCACUUUAAAAUUAGUAAUUUGUGAAUUUUUCUCAUUCCAAGUAAAUAGUUGUUUACAUACCCAAUUUUUAAUCUUUUUUUGUUUUACUUUUUAUUUCUUUUUUAAAUUUUGGGUGUUUUUUUUUUCUCUUUUCCUACACACCAAUUUUUAAUUCCUAACUUUGCAUGCUUUUUCUUAAAGAGAGCCUCUGCCAAAUUGUGUAAGCUCCUACACAAUGCGUAACUACCUCUGGUGAUCAGGCAACAGUCACAAUCGCUCAAGACUGCAAAUGAUAUUUACCAAUUUGUCUGGUUACUUUGGAAGUUCUUUCAAUGUCCGGCUUUAAAAGGGCGAGAAUAUUAAGCAAGGAGAAUUGAAGCUGCUUUACUGAAUACCUACAUAGUUCGUUAAGUGAACAUAACCUAAUGUUAAAGUAGAACGCUUCUCACCUCAGUUUCUCUGGAGGGUCUGAUAUUGUGGCUCUCAGGUACCAAUGUGUGCAUGAGACAGAACACUGUAAGAGGAAUCUAAAACAAAAUGAACCCUGAUGUUUGGGUUUGGUUUCGACAUUUAAGGCCAUUUAUCCAAGGACUUCUUUCUCUCUUCAAGAAUAUAAAAAGAUUUUUGGAGAGUAAGAAGAAAAAAGAAAGAUUCUAGUGAGAAGGGUUUUUGGAGAAGUUUUUGCUGUAAGCCUAAAAGUCCUGUAUCUCGAGAGAAAAUAAGGGAUGAGGGGACACCUGAGCCUCCCUCAAGUUUUGAGGGACUUCAGCACCGCCAUUCUGAGAACCUAAUAUGUGUCACCUGAAGUUCGAAAGACAGUGAGCUGAGAGCUGAUUUCUGCCCCAGAAAAUCUGCAGAGUAAGAGGGAAGCUGGCCAUUUGUGUUGAGGAUGACGAAGCCAAAGCAAGUAGCUGCAAUGUCUGGGAAAUUCCCACCACCUCAAGCCCCUGCAGUGGAAGGACAAGGCAUGUUCCCUCAAUGUAGGACACGAUAGAGGACCAGCGAUCCUGAGGCUGUGUUAGGAUCUACCAGAGAGGACCUCCUAGAAGGGGCAAUGGGACUCCAUGGUGUAUGGGGGUGGAUUCUCUAAAGUGGGAGUUGCCAGCAGAAAAAGGGACAUCAACACAGCUCCACAGAUCCCACAGAGGGGGUACCCCCCAAAAGAGUGCUCAAGAGAAUAUCAACCUUAAACAUCAGCCACAUUCGCAAAAAGCCAAAUAAUGGCAGAGUUGAGUAAGAAAAUUCCCUUCUACUAUUUUUGAUUCCUCUCUUUAUGUCCCAACCCUAGAGGCAAGUCUAAUGAGGAAGAAGGAGCAGGAACAGAGAAAUGAAGAUCAAGCCUUCCUCUCUCGCUGCAGGUAGCCAGCUCACACUGAGCUGCCCAAGAAAGGGAGACCAUUCAACACUAAAUAAAAUUUAGGGUUUUAGGUUUUUCCAGGGCUAGGUAUUUUAAUGUGUGUAUUUAGGCUGUGUUUGUGACUUAAAAUGACCACAGGACAGACUGUAAAUUACCUUGGGGUGAAUUGUAUUCCUCCAAGGCAGGGAAAGAUUGCCAUAUGAAAUCAGCUUUAUAGGAUCAAGAA